GAAAGGUCCCCCGCCCUCUCCGCUUCUCACAGCUUUCCUUCCAUUGAAAAUGAAUGGGAAGCGGUGUUUCACCGCGUGCUAGUGUGCACGGGGCAUCUAGUAACACGGCGCAAAUGCACAUGUGCAAAUCAAAUAUCAACAAGAAAACAGUUGAUUAAAAACAUAUGGAGAUCAGCAAACAAGUACAGAGGACAAACAUAGGCAGAAGGGAGGUUUGAGGAGGGAGAUCCUCCUAGACACAGAUGUGCCUUGAAGUUUGAAGCGUUAUCGGCAGACAUCUCCUGGACAACCUGAGACCUCCAGACCUGUGAAGCUUUUGGGACUAUGCCAGAGGAUUUGAUGGACCCUACCUCAUGCCACCGAUGGCGAGGCUCUAACAGCGCCUGGGAAAAGUCACCGAGAUACAGAUUCCAAAGCUUCACCAAGCCCACUAUUUGAAGACUUCCGAGACAGGCCUGCAGAGCCUGAGUGAUGCGAAGUUAACCCUUGCUAAACAUACACAGCUGAAGAACCAGAUGUCCCAGAGCACGAGUCAGUUCUUGCGAGUGAACAAGUGUGUUGAAAAGAUGCUCUGGAUAGCCCCCUUGGGCUCCCGAAUGCAUAGCUCCCGAGUGGCGCAGCGGUCUAAGGCACUGCAUCUCAGUGCUUGAGGCGUCAC